AGCUCAUUGUUGUUCUCUUUUGGUGCAGCCCAUUCCUCAGCUCAGAGUUUGGGUUUGCCGUGCUGCCACAAGGUCAUCACCCAGGAAGUAAAGACAAUCCAAAGUUGCUUUGAACAAAAACCACGCUAUCGCUGCAGGCAACACGCCUUCCUCAUCAUCAACAAGCGGCAUAAAAAUAAGAUAUGGUGCAUUGAUCCAAAUUCUGAGUGGCUCAAAGACAAAAUAGAGAAGGGAGAACUGAAAUGUCCUCCGGUGAUAAGUGUAUGAAGCAACAAUGAGACCACAAAACAUCAGAGCAAAGAAGCUGAUGACAACAUUUUGUACUUAUUUAAUUGUAAUUCUUUUUGCAGAUGUAUUUAUUUAUUUAUUAUGUAAGUUAUUAUUUUAGCCUUUAAGCCAUCAACAUCAUUCCUAAUUUGUUGUAGAUGACAGUAAUAAAAGUUGUUCUUUGUGACUCUAAAUAAAUAUGGAUCAUGUUUAAAGUAAAA